GAUGAACGCUGGCGGCGUGCCUAAUACAUGCAAGUCGGACGAACAGACGAGUUUCUUGCUCCGCUGACGUUAGCAGCGGGCGGGUGAGUAACACGGGGAGAACCUCCCUAGCAGGCUGGGAUAACUUCUGGAAACCAGACCGAAGACCGGAUAAUGUAUUGAACCUCAGGGUUCAAUAGUGAAAGACUGUUUUGCUGUCACUUAUAGAGGGAUCCGCGCCGCAUUUGCUAGUUGGUAAGGUAACGGCUUACAAAGGCAACGAUGCGUAGCCGACCUGAGAGGGGGAUAGGCCACACUGGAAGUGAGAGAUGGUCCAGACUCCUACGGGAGGACGCCGUAGGGAACCUCCCGAGAUGGGAGAAAGCAUGACGGAGCAACGCGGGGUGAGUGAUGAAGGUAUUCGGAUCGUAAAACUCUGUUAUUAGGGAAGAACAAAUGUGUAAGUAACUAUGCACGUCUUGACGGUACCUAAUCAGAAAGCAACGGCUAACUACGUG
rnacentral:rRNA from 1 species